AUCCUGGCUUAGGACGAACGCUGGCGGCGUGCCUAAUACAUGCAAGUCGAACGGUCUUUCUAUGGAAGCUUGCUUCCACUGAGAAGAUAGUGGCGAACGGGUGAGUAACGACGUGGGUAACCUGCCCAUAAGAGGGGGAUAACAUCCGGAAACGGGUGCUAAUACCGCAUAGUUUCUUGAUCGCAUGAUCGGGAAAGGAAAGACGGCCUUUGUGCUGUCGCUUAUGGAUGGACCCGCGGCGUAUUAGUUAGUUGGUGAGGUAACGGCUCACCAAGACGAUGAUACGUAGCCGACCUGAGAGGGUGAUCGGCCACAUUGGGACUGAGACACGGCCCAAACUCCUACGGGAGGCAGCAGUAGGGAAUCUUCCGCAAUGGACGAAAGUCUGACGGAGCAACGCCGCGUGAGUGAAGAAAGGUUUUCGGAUCGUAAAACUCUGUUGUCAGAGAAGAACAAGUUGGAGAGUAACUGCUCCAGCCUUGACGGUAUCUGACCAGAAAGCCACGGCUAACUACGUGCCAGCCGCUGC
rnacentral:rRNA from 1 species